rfam:Hymenobacter gelipurpurascens strain DSM 11116 genome assembly, contig: Ga0170436_11
GUGAUGGGUCGCCCCACCGCGGCGCUUUCGGGCGACGAGGAAAGUCCGGGCAACACAGAGCACCCUGCUUCCUAACGGGAAGGAUUUGGAAGCGUAAAGCAACCCAAGACAGCCAGUGCCACAGAAAACUACCGCCUACGUCGCCUCCGGGUGGCCGGUAAGGGUGAAAAGGUGCGGUAAGAGCGCACCAGCGGCUGGGCAACCAUGUCGGCUGGGUAAACCUCAGGGGUUGAAAGACCAAAUAAGCUGGCACGUCGGCCUUUCGGGGCCGGCACCGGGUGGCUCGUCCGGCGCCAGCGGGUAGGUUGAUGGAGCCUUUCCGCGAGGACUGGCCUAGAUAAAUGGUGGGGCCGCUUUUGCUUGCAGAGGCGGACAAAACCCGGCUUACAGACUCAUCACCGCC